rnacentral:rRNA from 1 species
UACGUAGGGUGCAAGCGUUAAUCGGAAUUACUGGGCGUAAAGCGUGCGCAGGCGGUUAUGCAAGACAGAUGUGAAAUCCCCGGGCUCAACCUGGGAACUGCAUUUGUGACUGCAUAGCUGGAGUGCGGCAGAGGGGGAUGGAAUUCCGCGUGUAGCAGUGAAAUGCGUAGAUAUGCGGAGGAACACCGAUGGCGAAGGCAAUCCCCUGGGCCUGCACUGACGCUCAUGCACGAAAGCGUGGGGAGCAACAGG